CAAACAUGUCACAGUAAUCAAUACCAUCUGUGUUAAGAUGUCGGGAAUGUGUUAGACGAAUGAUUUUGUUUUAUGGAGCUUUGAAGAGCGAUGAAUGGCACUAAAGUGGUGCCAAAUGGAUAUCUCAAACACCCAUUGUUGAUGUGUGAUGCUGAUAAUACAGAGACAGCUAGAGUGACAGAGUUUGAUGAAUAAACUUAAAUUAAAAAACAGAAAUAACCACCAUCUCUCUCAGAGGUCAUCUUUCUCAUUAUUGUGGGGAAACCUCAAAGGGCAUCAGGAAAACCUUCAUCAACCUCUUUGUGCCCAGUGGCUUGUGCAACAGUGUUUCAGAAAUUAUCAUUAAAAUGGGGAUAAUGGAUGACUGGCCACACAUAUGGGGCUAUGGACAAGCUUCAGAGCAGGCUGCCAGGUGGUGGUGUUAGUAGUUUAUACUCCGGGUCCCGGCGUGAGCACAUUGAAGGGUCCCUGAGAGUGACAGUUCAACCACCGCACACCUAUCCUGGGCAGAACCAGUACUAGGUGCCUUCACCUCUGCAAGGAACUGACAACUUCUGUACAUGCCAGGUGCAGUGGUACAGUGCGAAUGGUCGUAGAAAGGAUUUCAUAACCAAUCACAACAGAGGUGACCUGGUCCGCCCGGGAAUCGAACCCGGGUUGUCCAAUUCAGAGUCCAACGCUCUACCGAUUGAGCUGACCGGGCGGACAUAUUAGCUACAUUAGAUGACAAGCCAUCUAUGCUGGACAUUCUUCACAAUAAAAUGUGAUGUCACAGGAGCUGUCUAUCUCAACAGCUCACACUGUCCGUAUUUGACUAAAGGAAUGAAUGAAGUCACUGCAGAAGUUAGAUUGAGGAAUGUCCAUGUCACUACCCAUCAUUUGGAAGGAGUUGGAUAAAAAAAGUGUGGCCUAUGUA